AUGACAUGUUGAGGACAAUCGGCCCAAAGUUUCUUGAAUCUCUCCCAAGCUAGGUAAAAAUUCUCAUCCUUGCAUUGUCGAAAACUUGUAAUCCUUUGUCUCCCCUU
rfam:Corchorus olitorius cultivar O-4 contig17222, whole genome shotgun sequence.